rnacentral:ncRNA from 1 species
GAGUUCCAGGCUGCUAAGGAUGCUUACCAACAAGCUAGUGUAGAAUGCGGUAUGCACAAGGAUCUUGUGAUGCGUUACAUUGAAUACCAAGCCUUGUUGAUUGCUUAAGGCGAAGGCUUCUUUCUAACUAAACACUGACGCUGAGGUACGAAAGUAUGGGGAGCAAAACGGAUUAGAGACCCGUGUAGUCCAUACCGUAAACGAUGAGURCMUUAGAUUCGUUUUUAAUGAGUCUAUAAAUGUAGAUUAAAGCACUCC